CCCUUUGGUACGGAAUACCCUCUGGAAACGGAGAGUAAUACCGUAUGAGCCCUUCGGGGGAAAGAUUUAUCGCCAAAGGAUUGGCCCGCGUUAGAUUAGGUAGUUGGUGGGGUAAUGGCCUACCAAGCCUACGAUCUAUAGCUGGUUUUAGAGGAUGAUCAGCAACACUGGGACUGAGACACGGCCCAGACUCCUACGGGAGGCAGCAGUGGGGAAUCUUGGACAAUGGGGGCAACCCUGAUCCAGCCAUGCCGCGUGAGUGAUGAAGGCCUUAGGGUCGUAAAGCUCUUUCGCCUGUGAAGAUAAUGACGGUAGCAGGUAAAGAAACCCCGGCUAACUCCGUGCCAGCAGCCGCGGUAAUACGGAGGGGGUUAGCGUUGUUCGGAAUUACUGGGCGUAAAGC
rnacentral:rRNA from 1 species